rnacentral:misc_RNA from 1 species
AACGCACAUUGCGCCCGCCAGUAUCCUGGCAGGCAUGCCUGUUCGAGCGUCAUUUCAACCCUCAGGACCUGUUUCCUGGUGUUGGGGUACCUAGGUAGUAGGGCCCUCAAAGACAGUGGCGGGCUCUGUCACACACCGAGCGUAGUAAUCUCCUCGCUUAGGGCGUGUGUCAGGGCGUGGCCUAAACCCAUACUUAUAAAGGUUGACCUCGGAUCAGGUAGGAAUACCCGCUGAACUUAA